UUAACUCAAAUUUGUAUGGAGUUGGAACGUUUGCCUACGUUUGCCGUUAGGGGCGCUAUUCCAACUGCAUGCAAAUUUGAGUUA
rfam:Bombyx mori DNA, contig: Bm_scaf9_contig7430, strain: p50T/Dazao, build 2, whole genome shotgun sequence.